rnacentral:tRNA from 1 species
UCAAUUGAUAUCUUAAAGUAAGAUUUGAUCUUUUAAAUCAAAAAUAGUAAAUUUACGAUUACUUCAAUUGAA